rnacentral:rRNA from 1 species
UACGUAGGGUGCGAGCGUUACUCGGAAUUACUGGGCGUAAAGCGUGCGCAGGCGGUUCUCCAAGUCCGUUGUGAAAGCCCCGGGCUCAACCUGGGAAUGGCAGUGGAAACUAGGGGACUGGAAUCUGGCAGAGGGGGGUGGAAUGCCGCGUGUAGCAGUGAAAUGCGUAGAGAUCCGGAAGAACACCAGUGGCGAAGGCGGCCCGCUGGGCAGUGGCUGACGCUGAAGCGCGACAGCGUGGGGAGCAAACAGG